CUCUAAAACAGUCAUAGAAUCAUUUUCUUUAUGUAACUUCAACAUCUGAACUCUUCAAAAGAGCCACAGAACUCCAACCUGGCGGAUGAGAUACAUCCCCGGCGCCUUAGAGUGAUACCAAGUGCUUUGGCUCCGGCCUCAGCGGUGAUGAUCUCGACCCUUUUGAGUGUCUGGCUUCGGUCGGCUUGACUGGGUAGGCGCCGGCGGACUUCUGACAGGC
rnacentral:snoRNA from 1 species